UAUAUGCUUUAUGUUAUUGUACAAUAGCUCUUCAAUAUGUUCUGAGACAUGCAGAUACAAAGGGAAAGGGAGGAAAGAGAGAGAGCAGCAAGAGAGAGAAACAGAGAUGCAGAACGGCGAGUCACCAACGACCGGCUCCAAACGCAUGCUCGCCUCCCACUUACAGAAUAGAAGUCGUCAAGUCUAGGGUUUUCCGGUGAAAAUUCGAGGGUUCAGAGGUGGUAGUGGCGAGUUCCGACUGAAGUAGUGGCGAACCUUUGCGAACGGAGGCUAUAGAGGAAAACGAACAGAGCCUUGUGAGUUGGGUAAAUCUUUUGCAAUCAAUCAAGUGACACGAGAUUGGGCAGGCAAAACCAAAUCUCUCUGAUCAAAAUGUUAUACUGGUGUUUGUUGUGGGAGGCAUGAAUGGCAUUGAGGUACUUGAAGCUCAAGAGGCAUUAUCUGAAAGCGGAAGAGUGGAUGUAGAAGUUGUUCUUGGCGGAACGACCUUUUUAACUCUGCCGAUAUGCUUGAUAAGGAGAGUGGUCCCUCUAGAUGGGAGAUUUGAGCACGUAGUUCUCUUUUGCACUUCUACUCCCGACCACGCCAUCAUUUGGAUAGACAGGGAAGUCAAAAGGGCUUUAGAUCUAUAUUCCAGAAGAGAUGAGAACCCCACCUCUUUUAAAAGUCAGUGUCUCACACAAUACAUUCUUUGAUACAAAUAUUUUUAUCCUCUGUUUUAAAGAUCAACAAUUCUUGCAAACAAGGAUGCUUCAAGACCCACAACACCGUCAACAACUGCAGGAUAUGAUGUAAAAAGCUGGAAAAAAACGAAGAAAAUAACAUUUAUGUUGAGAUAUAAUGACGAAGGGGCAACAAAACUGCCGGAUGAUAAGGAAGGUGAAUACAAAAGUGUUAAACGAAAAGCCAAAAAAGGUUGGUUAUUAGUCAAUGAUGCUGUUGGUAGUAUAUGCACACGUGCAUCAAAUUGUUACUUUCAUUUUGAACGAUGUUGUUUGAUGUCAUGUGCAAUUUUUGCAGGAGAAAUAAAUACAAGGAAUAGGACAAGUAAAAAGCACGAUGUUGUUUGAUUUGUUGAGUGUUAGGGUCUUUUAUUGAAGCAAACCUGUUGAUAAGGUCCAUCAUGUUAAUGCACAUGUGCAUAGCUUUACACAUAUGCAUAUCUUGUCAGAUUAGUUUAAUAAGGUCAAUCAUAUUGAUGCAUAUGUGUAUAAUUACGCACAUGUGAAUAAUUUGCUAUAAUAGGUUAAUAAUGUCAUGUAGUUUGCCAGAAUAUGUUAACAAUGUCAUUUAUAAUGAUGGACAUGUGCAUAGUUUGACAGAAUAGAUUGGUUACUAAUUAAUGUUAAAUAUGAUUGGUCGUAGUAAUACGAAAUUUGAUUUGGUAAGGGUUAGUUUUUUACUGAAGCAAACCUACUGAUUAGGUCAGUCAUGUUACUGCACAUGUGCAUAUUUAUGCACAUAUGCAUAUUUUGUCAGAUUAAGUUAAUAUGAAUGUAUUACGGCAUAUGCACAAGUACAUUAUUACUUUAAAACAUAAACAUUGUACAUAUUGUAUGUAAAAUGUUUAUUGCACAUGUGCAUACAUGAAACAAUUGAUGUACUAUAUGUAAUGUAUGCAGGAAAAAUAUAUUCAAAACUGCUCAUGGAUUGACAACAAGGACAUAUUUGAUGAAUAGGUUGACAUCUCGGAAAAUGAUAGACUAAGAGGCGUUGAAACAGUAGGAGUGUUGGAAGAUGCUUAGUAAAUGGAAAGACGAGCAGAAGGUGUGAGGUUGUGAACUAAUGCAAAUGUUAUGUGUAGGUAGUUUGUGGACAUGGAAUACAAAAGAUAAUGUUUGUUAAUAUAUGAUGUAUUAUGUUGUUUGGUAGAGAAAAUUUUGGUACUACACAUGUGCAAAGAUUGAUAUAGCAUACAUAUUCGUAUUGUUGUAUUGUAUAAUGUAUUACAAUGGUUAUAUUUGUUAAUUUAGGAUGUAA